AGCAAGCAGACGUAUCAUGCAGCUAUGACUGCGAUACUAGAUCUGUUAAUUAAAAAUUCCGCCCCAUCAAUUGCGAUGGUAAGGUAGUGGCUUACCAUGGUUGCAACGGGUAACGGGGAAUCAGGGUUCGAUUCCGGAGAGGGAGCAUGAGAAACGGCUGCCAGAUCUAUGGAUUGCAGCAGGUGCGAAAAUUAUCCACUUUUGGCAUAAAGAGAUAGUGAUGAUAAAUAACGGAUCUGGGCAUUUGUUCAGAGAUCGUAAUGAAAUAAUCGUAAAAGCUUUAUUGAAAGCAAUUGGAGGGCAAGUCUGGUGCCAGCAGCCGCGGCAAUUCCAGUUCCAAUAGUGUAUACUAAAGUUGCUGCAGUUGAAAAGCUCGUAGUUGGAUCUCGGUUUGCUGGCGCACAAGGUGCGCAAGUAGGCCUGUGCUGUAGUUGAGUGCUACGGCUUUACCUUGAACAAAAUAGAGUGCUUAAGGCAAGCAUUCUGCUUGAAUAUCUCAGCAUGGAAUAAUAGAAAAAGACUUUCUAUUGGUUAGCCAGUGAAAGUAAUGAUUAACAGAGACAGACGGGGGCAUUCGUAUUGCACCGCUAGAGGUGAAAUUCGUAGACCGGUGCAGGACGAACUACAGCGAAAGCAUUUGCCAAGGAUGUUUUCAUUAAUCAAGAACGACAGUUGGAGUAUCGAAGUCGAUUAGAUCUCGUCGUAGUUCCAACUAUAAACGAUGCCAACUAGCACUCCGCUAAUAAUGUUUGUUACAUUAGCGGGUGGCUUCCGGGAAACCAAAGUCUUUGGGCUCCGGGGGAAGUAUGGUUGCAAAGCUGAAACUUAAAGGAAUUGACGGAAGGGCACCACCAGGAGUGGAGCCUGCGGCUCAAUUUGACUCAACACAGAAAAACUCACCCGGGCCCGAACACAGUAAGGAUUGACAGAUUGAUAGCUUUUUCUUGAUACUGUGGGUAGUGGUGCAUGGCCGUUGUUGGUUGGUGGAGUGAUCUGUCUGGUUAAUUCCGAUAACGAACGAGACUCAAGCCUGCUUAUAAGUUGGUCGAUUCUGGUCGAACAACUACUUAGAGGGAUCAGUGUAUAAAACACUUGAAAAUGAGCAAUAACAGGUCUGUGAUUGCCCUUAGACGUUCGGGGCUGCACGCGCGCUACAAUGAAGAAAGCAGUGGGUGACUUGCUUGAGAAGGCAAGCCAAACCUUAAAAUUUCUUCGUGGCAGGAAUCGAGGCUUGUAAUUAUUCCUCGUGCACAAGGAAUUCCUAGUAAUCGCAGGUCAUUAGCCUGCAAUGAUUACGUCCCUGCCCUUUGUACACCCCCGCCCGUCA
rnacentral:rRNA from 1 species